GGGCCCAUAGCUCAGACAGGUAGAGCGCUGCAUUCGCAUUGCAGAGGUCAGGAGUUCAACUCUCCUUGGGUCCACCA
rnacentral:tRNA from 1 species